rnacentral:rRNA from 1 species
GACGAACGCUGGCGGCGUGCUUAACACAUGCGAGUCGUACGGAAAGGCCCUGCUUGCAGGGUACUCGAGUGGCGAACGGGUGAGUAACACGUGGGUGAUCUGCCCUGCACUUCGGGAUAAGCCUGGGAAACUGGGUCUAAUACCGGAUAGGAGCCAUUUUUAGUGUGAUGGUUGGAAAGUUUUUUCGGUGUAGGAUGAGCUCGCGGCCUAUCAGCUUGUUGGUGGGGUAAUGGCCUACCAAGGCGGCGACGGGUAGCCGGCCUGAGAGGGUGGACGGCCACAUUGGGACUGAGAUACGGCCCAGACUCCUACGGGAGGCAGCAGUGGGGAAUAUUGCACAAUGGGCGCAAGCCUGAUGCAGCGACGCCGCGUGGGGGAUGACGGCCUUCGGGUUGUAAACUCCUUUCGCUAGGGACGAAGCUUUUUGUGACGGUACCUAGAUAAGAAGCACCGGCUAACUACGUG